rnacentral:rRNA from 1 species
GCCUUGUACCCACCGCCCGUCCCACCAUGGGAGUGGGUUGCAAAAGAAGUAGGUAGCUUAACCUUCGGGAGGGCGCUUACCACUUUGUGAUUCAUGACUGGGGUGAAGUCGUAACAAGGUAACCGUAGGGGAACCUGCGGUUGGAUCACCUCCUUACCUUAAAGAAGC